rnacentral:rRNA from 1 species
AUGGCAUGGUGGAAGCUUUGCAUCCCCAAAAGUGAAGGUGGAAUGGGCUUUCGAGAUCUAUACUCGUUCAAUUUAGCAAUGCUUGCAAAACAGUGCUGGAGGAUUGUAACAGAACCAGAAUCCCUGGUGGCCCGUGUGUUGAAAGCUAAGUACUUUCCUAAUGGGAGUAUCCUAGAAGCUACCCUGAAAAAUGGUUCUUCCUUUACUUGGCAAAGCAUAAUGAAAGGCUUAGAAACUUUCAAAAGAGGAAAUAUAUGGAGAAUUGGCACGGGAGAACAUGUGAAUAUCUGGAACGAUCCAUGGAUACCCAGUAGCGCAGACAGGAAAGUGAUCACUCCCCGUAACAAAACACUUCUGACAAGAGUUUGUGACUUGAUGGAUCCGCUGACUGGUACGUGGGAUGAGGAGUUACUAAGAGAUGUUUUUUGGGCAGUGGAUGUGCGUAGGAUUAUGCAAAUCCCAAUAUACCCGUUAGCCUUCGACGACUUCAUUGCUUGGCAACCUAACAGGACAGGGAUUUUCACUGUAAAAAUGGCCUACCAUCUUCAAUGGAGUCAUACUUAUAGGGCACAUGCAAAUAGGACAGAGAACCCGACUGGAUCUGCACCCGUGGAUAUCUAGAAUACCCUUUGGAAACUUCAGGUGCCACGUAAAGUUCAAAUAUUUGGUUGGCGAAUAUUGCGAGGAAUCAUCCCUCUAAAAUCAAUCCUAAUGAACUGGCAUGUAGGGUCGGACGGGGCCUGUCCGAUUUGUCAUCAGGGAGCGGAGGAUCUGAAACAUCUUCUGUUUUUGUGCACUAAUGCAAAGGAGCUUUGGAGGCGACUAGGUAUGGUGGAUGUCAUC